UACGGAGGGUGCAAGCGUUAUCCGGAUUCACUGGGUUUAAAGGGUGCGUAGGUGGGCAAGUAAGUCAGUGGUGAAAUCUCCGGGCUUAACCCGGAAACUGCCAUUGAUACUAUUUGUCUUGAAUACUGUGGAGGUCAGCGGAAUAUGUCAUGUAGCGGUGAAAUGCUUAGAUAUGACAUAGAACACCAAUUGCGAAGGCAGCU
rnacentral:rRNA from 1 species